GCACUGCUGAGGAGUUCCACAAUAAGACGAAACGGCCGUUUAGUAC
rnacentral:hammerhead_ribozyme from 1 species